GAUGAACGCUGGCGGCGUGCCUAAUACAUGCAAGUCGAGCGAACGGACGAGAAGCUUGCUUCUCUGAUGUUAGCGGCGGACGGGUGAGUAACACGUGGAUAACCUACCUAUAAGACUGGGAUAACUUCGGGAAACCGGAGCUAAUACCGGAUAAUAUUUUGAACCGCAUGGUUCAAAAGUGAAAGACGGUCUUGCUGUCACUUAUAGAUGGAUCCGCGCUGCAUUAGCUAGUUGGUAAGGUAACGGCUUACCAAGGCAACGAUGCAUAGCCGACCUGAGAGGGUGAUCGGCCACACUGGAACUGAGACACGGUCCAGACUCCUACGGGAGGCCGCGGUAGGGAAUCUUCCGCAAUGGGCGAAAGCCUGACGGAGCAACGCCGCGUGAGUGAUGAAGGUCUUCGGAUCGUAAAACUCUGUUAUUAGGGAAGAACAUAUGUGUAAGUAACUGUGCACAUCUUGACGGUACCUAAUCAGAAAGCCACGGCUAACUACGUG
rnacentral:rRNA from 1 species